GAGACUUGAGAGUUGAGAGAACCUUGAAUAAGUAAAUAAUAAAAAAAUUAAAAUUAAAAAUUUUCAUUUUUUGUUGGUGGAAAAAAAACUUUUCAUUCAACAGCAACAAAGAGAGAUAUGGUGAUGAGUGUAGAGCAGAUGCAGAGAAGAGAUGAACAAAUAAAAUAAAUAAAGGUGUCGUUCUUCUUGAAUGGGAAUCUCGCUUUUGCUUUGGUCCACAACAAUGGUGUCUGUGCGAGACUGAAAAGCAGCAAAAAGAGAAGGGGAGAGAUGCCAAAGAGAAAAUGGUAUUAUGGGGAAAAGGAGAUAUGGAUUGUCGCUUUGUGGCUGGCCUUCAAUGGCGUUAAGUCCAGCAUGAUCACUGCCUAUCGUAAUCCGUUUUUGGACGGUUGCCUGUUUUUUCAUCCGCGCCUGCGCCUGCGCCUAUGAUAAUGUCGUCUUCUUCUUCGUAGAGCUCGUUCGGGACCGGUCUCAGGUAGCCGUUGACAAGAAGGUUUCAUUUCGGCCUAGGGUUUCCGAAUGUGAUCGUCCCGGAGGAACUUGUGAGAUCUGAAGAAUCUUGAGAAACUUUUAACUACUGCAGCAGCUUGAUUUCGGAACCGGAACGCCUGAAAUCUAGCAGAGGUUGUGGUUUUCAGUGCGCUUAGAGGUGGAGCCGGUUCCUGGAAGAAAAAUUUCCAGUUUACUGCAGUGUGUUUUAGAUAUGCGUAUUUGAACUUUUAAGAACGCGAUGAUCGAUCGGAAAGUGAAACCUCGGGAGGUUGAGUUCGUUUGAUCCAUUCACAACUUGCAGAGUUAAAUUGCUUGAGAGUUGAGACUAACAACGCUGGCUCUGUUCUCUCUUCAUAGCUACUGGGAGCGAGUGUGAACGGUUUGAGAAUCGAAUCAAUGACUCAAUAGAGUGCAGAGACUUGUCUUUAUUCUUGCGCUUUUGGGUUCCAGUGAGGAUGCAGUUCCCAGCUUCAACAGUACUAAUACUCUUUAGCUGAUUCUUGGAAAGGCAUUACCAGUUAAAUUUAUCUCUUCAAGUGGGUUUUAUUUUUCCGGUCUCUCACAGCCUCUUUGAUUGAAUCCAUCUUGCAUGCUCAUCUUAUUUCUUCCAUUUGGUCUGUUUUUUCCUCUCCAAUUGAGUGAGCCUUUUUUUUCCUCUGCAAUUGAGUCUCAUUUCAGGGUUCUUUCAGCCUUUCUAAUUGACCCACCUAGACUGCUGAGUUGCUUGUUCGCUGGCUUAGUUACAAUGGCUAAACGAGUCUAUCCUUCAUCUGUAUUAUUGUUGCUUAUUCUUUGUCUUUUAACUCGUUACUCGGACCAACUACAAUCAUCUCAAGUUCACACCCUUCUGAGACUCCAGCGGCUCUUGAAUUAUCCGGCUGUUUUAAGCGGCUGGACCAACUCGACGGACUUCUGCAAUAUUGAACCAAGCGAGAAUCUUACUAUUGUCUGCUACGAAGAAAGCAUAACGCAGGUUCAUAUUAUUGGAAACAAGGGGACCCCUUCCUUGCCUCGGAAUUUCUCUAUUGAUUCUUUCUUCGUUAAUCUUGUAAAACUCCCAAGUUUGAAAGUCUUGACAUUGGUUUCACUUGGAUUAUGGGGUCCGCUACCGGGUAAAAUUUCUCGGUUUCCUUCGCUGGAAAUACUCAAUAUUAGUUCGAAUUUCUUUUAUGGUACAAUUCCUCAAGAGGUUUCAUCCCUGAGGAGUCUCCAGACACUCAUACUGGAUGAUAAUAUGUUCACUGGUCCUGUUCCUGACUGGUUGGGCGACCUUCCGGUUUUGUCUGUCCUGAGUUUGAAGAGCAAUUCGUUGAGCGGGCCUCUUCCGGAUUCACUAGGAGCUUUGGAGACUCUCAGGGUUCUUGCGCUUUCCAUGAACCGGUUGUCAGGGGAUGUUCCUAAUCUCAGCAGUUUGAUAAACCUUCAAGUGCUUGACUUGGAAGAUAAUCUUUUGGGACCUCAGUUUCCUAGUUUGGGAAGCAAAUUGGUUACACUUAUACUGAGAAAGAAUCGGUUUAGCUCUGCCAUUCCUUCUGAGUUAAGCUCCUAUUAUCAACUUCAGAAGCUCGAUAUUUCCUUCAACAGAUUUGUUGGUCCAUUUGCUCCGUCAUUGUUGUCUCUACCUUCCAUUACGUAUUUGAAUAUUGAGGGAAACAAGUUCACUGGCAUGCUUACCGAAAACAUGUCUUGCAAUGCUCAAAUAGAAUUCGUUGAUUUUUCCUCCAAUCUUUUGAGUGGAAGCUUGCCGACCUGUCUACUUUCGGAUUCUAAUAAAAGAGUUGUCCUGUAUGCUAGAAAUUGUCUAACAACUGCGGAGCAAAAUCAACAUCCGAAUUCAUUUUGUCGAAACGAAGCUUUAGCUGUAGGAAUAUUACCUCAUAAGCAGCAGAAGUCGAGAAGUGCUAAAGCAAUUCUUGCAACUAGUGUGAUAGGAGGGAUUGCUGGAGGAAUUGCACUUGCUGGUCUGGUUUUCUUGGUUAUUAGAAGAAUAAACACCAAAAAGAUGAUGAAAAAACCUACAACAAGGUCAAUAACAGAAAAUGCUUCAACUGGGUACACCUCAAAAUUGCUCUCGGAUGGAAGGUAUAUAUCUCAAACAAUGAAGCUGGGAGCACUUGGCCUUCCUUCUUACCGAACCUUUUCUUUGGAGGAGCUUGAAGAGGCUACAAAUAAUUUUGACACAUCAACUUUCAUGGGUGAAGGUUCACAUGGUCAGAUAUACAGAGGUAGGCUCAGUGAUGGUUCUCUUGUUGCUGUUAGAUGCUUGAAAUUGAAAAAGAGGCACAGCACCCAGAACUUUAAGCAUCACAUUGAAUUGAUUUCAAAACUCAGACAUCGCCAUUUGGUCAGUGCUCUUGGACACUGCUUUGAGUGUUACCUUGAUGAUUCUAGUGUCAGCAGAAUAUUUCUGGUCUUCGAAUUUGUUACAAAUGGAACACUAAGAGCCCAUUUAUCCGAGGGUCUUGCAGGACAAACACUUACCUGGACACAAAGGAUAGCAGCUGCCAUUGGCAUAGCAAAGGGUAUACAAUUUCUUCAUACAGGGAUUGUGCCUGGUGUAUUUUCAAAUAAUCUGAAAAUAACAGAUAUUUUGUUGGAUCAAAACCUUGUUGCUAAAAUUAGCAGCUAUAACCUGCCUUUAUUAGCAGAGAAUAUGGGAAAGGUAGGUGGAGGAGUUUCUUCUAGUGUAUCAAAAGAGUAUAGCAUUGCUGGAAGGAUAAAACAUGAAGAUAAGAUUGAUGUUUAUGAGUUUGGAGUAAUCUUGCUGGAAAUUGUUACUGGAAGACCAAUCACAUCCCAGCAUGAUGUGGAUGCUCUUAAAGAUCAGAUACAAAUAAGUAUUGCAUCUGAUGAUGCUGCUCAAAGGAGCAUAGUUGAUGCAGAAAAUCUCAAGACAUGUUCAGAUGAAUCUUUGAGGACAGUGAUUGAGAUCUGCAUAAGGUGCCUGUCUAAAGAACUGAUAGAUAGACCCUCAAUUGAGGAUGUUUUGUGGAACCUUCAGUUUGCAUCUCAGGUUCAAGAUGCAUGGAGGGGAGAAUCCCAGAGCAGUGAAGGGUCACCAGUCCCAUAUUCCCAUCCUUCAGUUCUACAGCUCUCAGUCCAAUAGCAGCUAAAUAUAAAUCCAUCUUCCACAAAUUCCAGUUUGCAAGGACAGAAGAACCUGACGCCAUUGCUUCAAAUCGAUGAUGAUAAAAGUGUUUCGGUCUCUUUGUUGUUCGUCACAAAGAUGAUUCACAACUACAACACUAUCAGAAAAAAAAAAGCCACUAAAUGCUUUUCUCAGUACCACCACGUCCCGAUUAGCACUCAAUGUAAAGGGCAAUGGUAAAUUUUCUUUAUGAUAUGGGAGUCAUGGAGAUGAAAAGUGCAGAAAAUAGAGUGUAUUAAAUUCUUUCUUGGAACCUUGCAAGUGUUUGUUAAAUCCUUGUUGACAUUGGCAGAGAUCGCAAAAAGGCCUCUUCCCUCUUAUUUAUCUUUAUUAUAACUAAAGUUGUGAUCAUGUCUUUUUCUUUUUCUUUUUUUUUUUUUUACUAUUGAAGUUGUGGUUUCUGUGUUUAUUUUGCAAUUUUGAAGGUGGUUAGCGCGGAGUGCUUUCGAAACAGUAUAGUGUACCAUUAGUGUCUUGAUAUUACAUGUUUGUACCCUAUCUGAUCAUUGACUAGCGGCUCAUUUUUCUGGUC